CGUUUUGGAAUCAUGCCGGCGUUCCUUUUUUACUCUAUUCCAGUCUCAAACCAGAAGGUUAUUUAGUUAAAGGACGCAAGCUACAACUCCGCUAUGUUAUUCGAAGUGGGAAAGCGGUCAAGAGAUCACUUGAUACUGAUUAUGAUGCCAAAUAUCUAUCCCAGGUCAUGGAAGACUUGGGAGAUAGUCAGCAACUAUUUCUUGACAAGAGUGCAAUCCCUAUAGCUAGCAAUAAAAUUGUAACUUUCUGGGUGAAAGAUCCGGCGGGAAAACGCGAGAUUCUUUUGGACGGAAGGAGGAUGUUGUAUUCGGUUCCUGGGGUUCACUGCUAUCACCCCAUACAUGUAACAGUUACGUCAAAGCCAAAACCAAGUUUUCCAACUACCAAGCCGACAACGCUAAGGCCCUUAACGACUAAGCCUCAAAAAUCUACCUUGCCUACUUCUCCGCCGCCACCCAUAUC